AUUGAACGCUGGCGGCAGGCCUAACACAUGCAAGUCGAGCGAGCGGCGGACGGGUGAGUAAUGUCUGGGAAACUGCCUGAUGGAGGGGGAUAACUACUGGAAACGGUAGCUAAUACCGCAUACCAUCAGAUGUGCCCAGAUGGGAUGAGCUGGUAGGUUGGGUAACGGCUCACCGAGGCGGCGAUCCCUAGCUGGUAUGAGAGGAUGACCAUGCACACGGGAACGGAGACAGGUUCCAUACUCCUGCGGGAGGCAGCAGUGGGGAAUAUUGCACAAUGGGCGCAAGCUUGAUGCAGCCAUGCCGCGUGUGUGAAGAAGGCCUUCGGGUUGUAAAGCACUUUCAGCUGGGAGGCGGUACCCGCAGAAGAAGCACCGGCUAACUCAGUGCCAGGAGCCGAGGUAAUUC
rnacentral:rRNA from 1 species